GGGGAUAUAGUUCAGUGGUAAAGUGCAUGCUUAGUAUGCACGAGGUUCUGGGUUCAAUACCCAGUACCUCUA
rnacentral:tRNA from 1 species